CAUGGGCCCCAUCCUGGAGGUAGGCGGCCGGUUGCCUCACCCCGCACUCAGCGCCUCGCUUCACAGCAGCGUUCGUCCAGCUCUCCCAACGGCCCGAUGUGGUUCGUUCGGAACUUCCUACGCAUGCGCCUAAUUUGCAACGCCCGGGGCUGUUCCCCCUCCCACGGGGUCGUAUGACGCGCCGCUCUCCAGCCUCUGUUUCUGGUUUCUCCUAUCCGGUUCCGGGUCAGGGCGGUGGUGGGGCGGGAGGCGUUGGGGUCUCUCCGCUGCCCUGGCAGCCUGGGAGGAUUCAUUUCCCGUUAGUCAGGCUAUAGAUGCAGGGUGACUGCAUAACUGAAACAGACACUUAAGAUGUUUUUCAAUUAUGCCCAAGUUUCUUCAGUGGAAACUGCCAGGGUAGGUGAGUACAUAUAACUUGCAAUGCUCUCCUCUGUUUUCCAAGUAAAAGUUCUUUGCACUAAUGAUCUGAUAAACACUAAUGAUCAUUAUGUUGACCUAAAGUAAUUACUACUAAUUUUCUAACAGUAUUUUCAGCAUAAAAUUUAUAAACAACUCCAUCUCUUUCAGCAUCUGUGCUUAAUCUGGUGCCAAGUCUGUUAAUUGCACACCUGUGUUCCUGUUAGCCACCUUGAAUGAUUGGUUUAUUAAGCAAUAAGACAUGCUAGGGUGUAUGCUUCAAGAUGAUUAUAACACCUUGGGUUAUAUUAUGAGGCACAAAGCCAAAGUGGCUUUAACCAACUUAAAGCAAUAACUGCUGUACUGUGCAUUACCUAGAGUUUAGUAUUGCUAUUAUGAAAUGGAAUUUCCUUAUCAAUGAAAGCUAUUUUUAGAGUUGCAGGAUGCUUAUGAAGCAAGGCAUUUUUAUUACUUUCUGAGAGGCAGAAAGGACUUGAAAUGUAACCAUCUUUAUGAAGUACUACCUACCUGUUUCAUUUUAUUUUUUUUUUACCUCAUGUCACAAACUUACAAGCAAUUCAAACAGGGUUUUGCUCAGGUGCAGUAAAACAUAUGAUGAUAUUUUAAUCUGGGUAACUCUUUAGCCACUUGGUUGAAUUUGGAAAUGCUGUUUUUCUAGUCACAGUUCAUAUGAAAGUGUUAACACUGAAAAUGGUAUCAUUGUCAUUACAAAAUGUUUCUAUAUCUGUUUU
rnacentral:lncRNA from 1 species